rnacentral:rRNA from 1 species
GACGAACGCUGGCGGGGUGCUUAACACAUGCAAGUCGAACGGAGUGGCGAACGGGUGAGUAACACGUGGGUGAACUGCCUUGCACUUCGGGAUAAGCUUGGGAAACUGGGUCUUAUACCGGAUAGUGCAAGAUGAGCUCGCGGCCUAUCAGCUUGUUGGUGGGGUAAUGGCCUACCAAGGCGUCGACGGGUAGCCGGCCUGUGAGGGUGUACGGCGACCAGGGGACUGCGUGACGGCCCAGUCGCCUACGUGAGGCAGCAGGGGGGAAUAUUGCACAAUGGGCGGAAGCCUGAUGCAGCGACGCCGCGUGUGGGAUGAAGGCCUUGGGGUUGUAAACUCCUUUCGACAGGGACGCGGUACCUGUAUAAGAAGCACCGGCUAACUACGUGCCAGCAGCCGCGGUAAUUC